AGACGUCUGGGGUUCGAGUCCCA
rnacentral:siRNA from 1 species